GAUGAACGCUGGCGGCGUGCCUAAUACAUGCAAGUCGAGCGAACGGACGAGAAGCUUGCUUCUCUGAUGUUAGCGGCGGACGGGUGUGUAACACGUGGAUAACCUACCUAUAAUAGUGGGAUAACUUCGGGAAAGCGGAGCUAAUACCGGAGAAUAUUUUGAACCGCAUGGUGCAAAAGUGAAAGACGGUCUUGCUGUCACUUAUAGAUGGAUCUCCGCUGCAUUAGCGAGUUGGUCAGGUAACGGCUUACCAAGGCGACGAUGCAUAGACGAACUGAGAGGGUGAUCGGCGGCCCGGGAACUGAGACACGCUCAAGGCUCCUACGGGAGGCAGCAGUAGGCAAUCGUCCGCAGUGGGCGAGAGCCUGACGCAGCAACGCGGCGUGAGUGAUGAAAGUCUUCGGAUCGUAAAACUCUGUUAUUAGGGAAAAACAUAUGUGUAAGUAACUGUGCCCAUCUUGACGGUACCUAGUAAGAAAGCCACGGCUAACUACGUG
rnacentral:rRNA from 1 species